CCCGCCUUGCCUUAGCUCCCUUGCGUGCUUCGUUAUUUAUAGAGCGCCUGGGGAGGGACUUGGGAGCUGUAAUGUGCACAUCUCAUUCUCAAGUCGAGUCAAGUCAAGGAAUUCAACACAGAAAAAUAAAGAAGAUCCAUCCAUGAGUUUGGGCUCUAAGGCCACCCAAGUUUUGGAAGGGGUGAAGAGAUAGACAAAUGUAGAUAUGCCUACAUCUCCACACUCCCGUUGUCGUCGUUCGUCUGCUUGUUGAUUGGACGUGGUGUGGCGAGGAGAGGAGUAAUAAAAUAAUAAUGUAUAUUUUUUUUUAUCAUAAACGUUUUUUGGUAAACUAAACUUUCCAAAACCGAAAACCAUUUCCAAAUAAAUGAUAUUUAAAUCGGUUAUUUAUUUA